rnacentral:lncRNA from 1 species
UUUGGUAGAUAUAUUGAAAGCAGUCCAGCAGUGCAGUGGGCAACAUUUCACCUGCAGAGGCAGCUACAUUUCAGAAGUGACCUUUUGUUCAACCGUAGUUAUUAUUCCAAAAGACAGUUUAAGAGGAAAAGGUUUGAAAAGCUCAAGCAUCUGUUACAUAACUGUCCAAAGCAAAGAAAACAGCAAGACCUCUUGCAGAUACAAGAAUACUUGAAGGUAAACAGAGCCUUUCAGUGUCUGCCCAUCAAAACACAACUCCAGCUGUGUCAAGUUGCCAUCUACCAAAAGUAAGUAAGGUACCAGAGCAUUACUUGCAUUUUGAGAAUGGGAUCCAUUCCAUGAACUUCCUUCAGAAAGCUGGGUCAGAAGGUGAAGAUUUUUCAACAAGGCUGAGAUUCUUGUGAUUAAAUAUUUAUCAUAAUUCUGAAGUGCCCUGCUCUGUUAAAAUAAAAUAUUGACAAAUGGAAAGUACGUAGUUCUU